UGUGUCGAAACUCAUUUUUCAUGCUCUAAUUGAAUAUUCCUCCUAACUAACUAACUUAUAAUAUUACUAGUCUAUUCCGUAACUGGAACGCGAGCUGGCACUCGUCUUGUCUAGUACAUAUUUUACAGCCUCGGACCCCCGUCCACGAACCCUUGCCUUGCGUUCCGACUGCAACCUCGUUUGAACCUUAACAAAUAGCGACGAAAAUUGCAACAAAUGUGUUACGAAUGGUUCGUGAUCGUGGCAUGACAGAAUGUCGCCUGCAACAACAACUGAAACAACAAGAGGCUCUUGUUGUUGCAGGCACAAGUACUCGUACAGCGAACUGAACCAGAGAAUUGUAGACCAAUGAGGAAAUCGUUACCUUGGCUUAAACCACUUAAACAUCACGAGUUGAACUCUUAACAGCCUGGGACUGUGACUGAGGCUGGGAGAAGACUUUCGGGGCUGCUGGCUGAUGAUGUUGAUGAGGAGGAGACGAAGACGACGACGACGACUACGACAAAGAAGUUGACAACAGCAGCAGCAGAAACAACAACGAGAUUAGCCGCGUUGAUGAGAGAAGAGAAACAGAGAGAGAGAGAGAGAGAGAGAGAUGGAGACGGAGAGUGGUAGCCAUGGGCUCCUGAAGUUGCUUGUUUCUCCAUGGUAUCUCUCUGCCCUGGUCUGGCCGAUUACAACGUAACCAAGUGUUUUUGCUGCUGUUGUUGCCUGUUGUUGGAGCUGAUGCAAUAAAUCGCCGACAUUGCUGAAAGUUGUUGCAGAGAUUGUGAUAAAAGUAAAUCGUUGCAGCAGCACUGAGACACGAUCAGGCAGGCCCUCGAGCAAGGAAGGAGGAGCACACAAGGACCAGUCCAGACCCAGACCCAGAUCAUCGAUAUCAAAUUACUUCGCAUUCAAAUGCUGCCAGAACACAGUCUGUUCAGUCCUUGUCCCACAUAUGAGUACUCCCUCUCGACUCUGCUUAUCAAUUUCAUUUGGCCAACUCUCCGGGAGAGCACGUAGAAAAGUUAACACACACACACACACAUGGACGGGAAAACUCGUCCGAACAGUCGUGUUGGAAGUCGCAAGGGUGAGGGGAAGGAAAAGUUGUGCCAACCACUUGGAAUUUUUGGGCAAAAGCGUUACGUUGGCGUAUUCUAAACUUUGGCGCUACUUUUUGCCCAUGAAGCUAAAGUCAUUAUCAUUAAAGACAUACCAUACUUUUCUGCCAAAAAA